rnacentral:misc_RNA from 1 species
UCCCGCUUAUCACGGGCAGUUUCCUUAGAGUUCCCAACUGAAUGAUGGCAACUAAGGACGAGGGUUGCGCUCGUUGCGGGACUUAACCCAACAUCUCACGACACGAGCUGACGACAGCCAUGCAGCACCUGUGUUCCUCCCACCCGAGGUGAAGGACUCCAUCUCUGGAGUCCAAAAAGGACAUGUCAAGGCCUGGUAAGGUUCUUCGCGUUGCCUCGAAUUAAACCACAUGCUCCACCGCUUGUGCGGGUCCCCGUCAAUUUCUUUGAGUUUUAACCUUGCGGCCGUACUCCCCAGGCGGAAUGCUUAAUGCGUUAGCGACGUCACUGAGGGCUAAGCCCCCAACAACUAGCAUUCAUCGUUUAUGGCGUGGACUAC